AGCAGCCGCGGUAAUUCCAGCUCCAAUAGCGUAUAUUAAAGUUGUUGCAGUUAAAAAGCUCGUAGUUGAAUUUCGGGGUUAGUAGGUUGGUCAUGCCUCUGGUAUGUACUGAUCUCACUGAUUCCUCCUUCCUUAUGAACCGUAAUGCCAUUAAUUUGGUGUUGCGGGGAAUUUGGACUGUUACUUUGAAAAAUUAGAGUGUUUAAAGCAGGCUAACGCUUGAAUACAUUAGCAUGGAAUAAUGAAAUAGGACGUUCGAUCUUAUUUUGUUGGUUUCUAGGAUUGACGUAAUGAUUAAUAGGGAUAGUUGGGGGCAUUAGUAUUCAAUUGUCAGAGGUGAAAUUCUUGGAUUUAUUGAAGACUAACUACUGCGAAAGCAUUUGUCAAGGAUGUUUUCAUUAAUCAAGAACGAAAGUUAGGGGAUCGAAGACGAUCAGAUACCGUCGUAGUCUUAACCAUAAACUAUGCCGACUAGGGAUCGGAUGAUGUUAAUUUUUUAAUGACUCAUUCGGCGCCUUAC
rnacentral:rRNA from 1 species